rnacentral:miRNA from 1 species
AAGAACCAAUCCCAAAGUGAAAACCCAUAGUCAAACAUCAUAGAACGGCAACAAGCGGUAAUUUAUACCGCUUGUUGCCGUUCUAUGAUGUUUCGUAAAUCCAAUAGACAGGUACCUAUC